UGGGGAAUAUUGGGCAAUGGACGAAAGUCUGACCCAGCUAUGCCGCGUGAAUGAUGAAGGCCUUAGGGUUGUAAAGUUCUUUUACCGGGGAAGAUAAUGACGGUACCCGGAGAAAAAGCUCCGGCUAACUUCGUGCCAGCAGCCGCGGUAAUACGAAGGGAGCAAGCGUUGCUCGGAUUUAUUGGGCGUAAAGGGUGUGUAGGUGGUUUGAUAAGUUAGAUGUGAAAGCCCAGGGCUUAACCCUGGAAUUGCAUUUAAGACUGUUAGACUUGAAGAUUGGAGAGGUAAGCAGAAUUCCCAGUGUAGAGGUGAAAUUCGUAGAUAUUGGGAAGAAUACCAAUGGCGUAGGCAGCUUACUGGCCAAAUCUUGACACUGAGGCACGAAAGCGUGGGGAGCAAACAG
rnacentral:rRNA from 1 species